rnacentral:rRNA from 1 species
AGUGAACGCUGGCGGUAGGCCUAACACAUGCAAGUCGAACGGCAGCACAGUAAGAGCUUGCUCUUACGGGUGGCGAGUGGCGGACGGGUGAGGUAUACAUCGGAAUCUACUUUUUCGUGGGGGAUAACGUAGGGAAACUUACGCUAAUACCGCAUACGACCUACGGGUGAAAGCAGGGGAUCUUCGGACCUUGCGCGAUUGAAUGAGCCGAUGUCGGAUUAGCUAGUUGGCGGGGUAAAGGCCCACCAAGGCGACGAUCCGUAGCUGGUCUGAGAGGAUGGUCAGCGACACUGGAACGGAGACACGGUCCAGACUCCUACGGGAGGCAGCAGUGGGGAAUAUUGGACAAUGGGCGGAAGCCUGACCCAGCCAGACCGCGUGUGUGAAGAAGGCCUUCGGGUUGUAAAGCCCUUUUGUUGGGAAAGAAAAGCAGCAGGUUAAUACCCCGCUGUUCUGACGGUACCCAAAGAAUAAGCACCGGCUAACUUCGUG